GUUUCUCCUCUACUCUUCUAUCAUUACUUUUCUACUCAAAUCAGUUUCCAGAAGGGAACAACUUUAAUCUCACAUUUCAAAAUCGAGUGCAACCCAGUCUUGGUUAUCAGCUGAAUUCAUUUCCUAAAAAGUACGAGAGGAGCUUGCAUCAGUAAGCCGGGAGCUUACAACAGGCUACAAAAGCUUCCAGUGUUAGUAUUUUCGUUAUUUUGAUGUGUAUAUCACGGGGAUAAUAUGGGGUAGUUUACUUUCUAUUUACGACUCAUGUAGUACCAUAUUUUGCUUUGUAAAUACACAAGCUAAGAUCUAAUUUUGGGUGUUUGUAUUAACUUUACACAAAACCUUCCUUGCCGUCAGUGUGUCGGCGUGUUUUAAAUUAUGUACUACUAUCUACUCAGAACUUGUUUACUUUAAUAUUCUAGCAGGUUUUAUUUUGCA